CAACCCCCUUGUGCCCAAUGAAGUUUGGCCCACAACUCCACUUGAAAUGAGCAAAAUUACGUACUAUGCGGAACUUUCUGCUUGGUCGGUCGACCCUUGUGAGUAUCGAACGGAAAAGCGCUCGAUACGAGCGAGAGUCCCAGUUGUCGUUUGUUCAACAAUCUCUUUGAAAAGCGUCCGACUGAAAGGUCUUCGCUUGCCUUGUUCUCUUGUUCAUGAACAUGACUUAGCAGGUAGAGCUGGUAAUAGAAAUGAACAUCAUGGAACAGUCUAAAAGUUGCCCAAUCAGGGAGGUGAAUGGUCUUGCGGUAGAGAUCAUUGCUGGAAGAAAACUUUGCGUGUGAACACAAGUCUCAAUAUCUGCUCACUCUGCUCCCAGAUUAUUCACUUCUCUGAUUUGGGCGAUUUUAAUUGUUUGUGCUGUUCCAUGUGGUUCAUUUCUUCUGCCAGCUCUGCUCGAAACUCCUUUUCCUUCUCAUGUUUGAAUCAGAGUUCAAAGCAAUGCAGGGACAAUAUAUCCCUUGUUUCUUCGACUUAAGAUUUGGAGGGGAACAGAUUUGUGAUGAGAGUCCGACGGCCAUGAUGGAAGGUGCCGUAGAUGUGGAGAAAUUUAUGUUAGGUCGAAUGUUUAUCUAAAGAUGACGAGUCAAGUUGGAGCGAGUCAUCAUGAUAAAGCUCGGGAAGCCAACUAGGUCUGGAAAUGCCACUCUUCUCAUUUCAAGUCUUUUCUUUUGCUUUGAAUAUUUGACUCAAUAGGUCAUUCAUAUGUAUUACUGCAUUAAACUUGCCUAAAGAUAUCGUAUAUUUACAAAACAACUCAACAAGAUAAUACUUUCGAGA